UGGACGAAAGUCUGAUGGAGCAACGCCGCGUGAGUGAAGAAGGGUUUCGGCUCGUAAAACUCUGUUGUUAAAGAAGAACAUAUCUGAGAGUAACUGUUCAGGUAUUGACGGUAUUUAACCAGAAAGCCACGGCUAACUACGUGCCAGCAGCCGCGGUAAUACGUAGGUGGCAAGCGUUGUCCGGAUUUAUUGGGCGUAAAGCGAGCGCAGGCGGUUUUUUAAGUCUGAUGUGAAAGCCUUCGGCUUAACCGAAGAAGUGCAUCGGAAACUGGGAAACUUGAGUGCAGAAGAGGACAGUGGAACUCCAUGUGUAGCGGUGAAAUGCGUAGAUAUAUGGAAGAACACCAGUGGCGAAGGCGGCUGUCUGGUCUGUAACUGACGCUGAGGCUCGAAAGUAUGGGUAGCAAACAGGAUUAGAUACCCUGGUAGUCCAUACCGUAAACGAUGAAUGCUAAGUGUUGGAGGGUUUCCGCCCUUCAGUGCUGCAGCUAACGCAUUAAGCAUUCCGCCUGGGGAGUACGGCCGCAAGGCUGAAACUCAAAGGAAUUGACGGGGGCCCGCACAAGCGGUGGAGCAUGUGGUUUAAUUCGAAGCUACGCGAAGAACCUUACCAGGUCUUGACAUACUAUGCAAAUCUAAGAGAUUAGACGUUCCCUUCGGGGACAUGGAUACAGGUGGUGCAUGGUUGUCGUCGGCUCGUGUCGUGAGAUGUGGG
rnacentral:rRNA from 2 species